rnacentral:rRNA from 1 species
UAUGAGUGCCAGCCGCCGCGGUAAUACGGAGGGUGCGAGCGUUAAUCGGAAUAACUGGGCUAAAGGGCAUGUAGGCGGUAAGUUAAGUCAGAUGUCGAAAUCCCCCGAGCUUAACUUGGGAACGGCAUUUGAGACUGGCGGGCUAGAGUUUUGUAGAGGGGGGUAGAAUUCCAGGUGUAGCGGUGAAAUGCGUAGAGAUCUGGAGGAAUACCGGUGGCGAAGGCGGCCCCCUGGACAAGGACUGACGCUGAGGUGCGAAAGCGUGGGUAGCAAACAGGAUUAGAUACCCUGGUAGUCCACGCUGUAAACGAUGUCGAUUUGGAGGUUGUGGCCUAGUGUUAUGGCGUCCGAAGCUAACGCGAUAAAUCGACCGCCUGGGGAGUACGGCCGCAAGGUUA